rnacentral:rRNA from 1 species
GACGAACGCUGGCGGCGUGCUUAACACAUGCAAGUCGAACGGAAAGGCCCUGCUUUUGUGGGUUGCUCGAGUGGCGAACGGGUGAGUAACACGUGAGUAACCUGCCCCUGACUUUGGGAUAACUUCAGGAAACUGGGGCUAAUACCGGAUAUGAGCUCCUGCUGCAUGGUGUGGGUUGGAAAGUUUCGGCGGUUGGGGAUGGACUCGCGGCUUAUCAGCUUGUUGGUGGGGUAGUGGCUUACCAAGGCUUUGACGGGUAGGCGGCCUGGGAGGGUGAACGGCCACAUUGGGCCUAAGUUACGGACCAGAAUGCUACGGGCGGCAGCAGUGGAGAGUAUUGCACAAUGGGGGGAAGCCAGAUGCAGAAGUGCCGCGUGCGGGAUGACGGCCUUCGGGUUGUAAACCGCUUUAGCCUGUGACGAAGAGUGAGUGACGGUAAUGGAUAAAGAAGCACCGGCUAACUACGUG